UGAGCCAUAUGAUAGAACUAUAACAUAUAAUUUAGGGUUUUUACAUCAAAAUGUAUACUUUUGCCACACUGAGACUGAGACACGGCCCAGACUCCUACGGGAGGCAGCAGUGGGGAGUUUUCCGCAAUGGGCGAAAGCCUGACGGAG
rnacentral:ncRNA from 2 species